GGGUUGUGAGGUUAAGCGACUAAGCGUACACGGUGGAUGCCCUGGCAGUCAGAGGCGAUGAAGGACGUGCUAAUCUGCGAUAAGCGCCGGUAAGGUGAUAUGAACCGUUAUAACCGGCGAUUUCCGAAUGGGGAAACCCAGUGUGAUUCGUCACACUAUCAUUAACUGAAUCCAUAGGUUAAUGAGGCGAACCGGGGGAACUGAAACAUCUAAGUACCCCGAGGAAAAGAAAUCAACCGAGAUUCCCCCAGUAGCGGCGAGCGAACGGGGAGGAGCCCAGAGCCUGAAUCAGCAUGUGUGUUAGUGGAAGCGUCUGGAAAGGCGCGCGAUACAGGGUGACAGCCCCGUACACAAAAGCGCAUAUGCUGUGAGCUCGAUGAGUAGGGCGGGACACGUGGUAUCCUGUCUGAAUAUGGGGGGACCAUCCUCCAAGGCUAAAUACUCCUGACUGACCGAUAGUGAACCAGUACCGUGAGGGAAAGGCGAAAAGAACCCCGGCGAGGGGAGUGAAAAAGAACCUGAAACCGUGUACGUACAAGCAGUGGGAGCACAGGUUUACCUGUGUGACUGCGUACCUUUUGUAUAAUGGGUCAGCGACUUAUAUUCUGUAGCAAGGUUAACCGUAUAGGGGAGCCGUAGGGAAACCGAGU
rnacentral:rRNA from 1 species